GUCGGGAUAGCUCAGCUGGUWGAGC
rnacentral:tRNA from 1 species